UACGUAGGAGGCAAGCGUUGUCCGGAAUCACUGGGUGUAAAGGGUGCGCAGGCGGAAAGGUAAGUUAGAGGUGAAAUCUUGCGGCUUAACCGCAAAAUUGCUUCUAAUACUGCUUUUCUUGAGUACGGAAGAGAAUGAUGGAAUUCCUGGUGUAGCGGUGAAAUGCGUAGAUAUCAGGAAGAACACCAGUGGCGAAGGCGGUCAUUUGGUCCGUUACUGACGCUCAGGCACUAAAGCGUGGGGAUCAAACAGG
rnacentral:rRNA from 1 species